GAUGAACGCUGGCGGCGUGCCUAAUACAUGCAAGUCGAGCGAAUGGAUUAAGAGCUUGCUCUUAUGAAGUUAGCGGCGGACGGGUGAGUAACACGUGGGUAACCUGCCCAUAAGACUGGGAUAACUCCGGGAAACCGGGGCUAAUACCGGAUAACAUUUUGAACCGCAUGGUUCGAAAUUGAACGGCGACUUCGGCUGUCACUUAUGGAUUGACCCGCGUCGCAUUAGCUAGUUGGUGAGGUAACGGCUCACCAAGGCAACGAUGCGUAGCCGACCUGAGAGGGUGAUCGGCCACACUGGGACUGAGACACGGCCCAGACUCCUACGGGAGGCAGCAGUAGGGAAUCUUCCGCAAUGGACGAAAGUCUGAUGGAGCAACGCCGCGUGAGUGAUGAAGGCUUUCGGGUCGUAAAACUCUGUUGUUAGGGAAGAACAAGUGCCGUUUGAAUAAGGCGGCACCUUGACGGUACCUAACCAGAAAGCCACGGCUAACUACGUGCCAGCCGCCGCGGUAA
rnacentral:rRNA from 1 species